AAUAGAUGACGCCGUUAACUUUUUCUCACAUGUUUGACUAUUCGUCUUAUUCAAAAAAUUUACGUAAUUAUAAUUUAUUUUGUUAUGAGUUGUUUUAUCACUCAUAGUACUUUAAGUGUUUUAAGUGUGAUUUAUAUCUUAUACAAUUGCAUAAAAUUUUUGAAUAAGACGAAUGGUCAAACAUGUGAGAAAAAGUCAACGGCGUCAUCUAUU
rfam:Oryza sativa Japonica Group DNA, chromosome 6, cultivar: Nipponbare, complete sequence.